AUCACCAUAUGAACAAGCACUGGUUGCCGCAGUUUCUGCUUAUGGGUAUACACUUUUGAGUGGACUUCAGGGCAUAUUUCAAUUGAUGUCAAUGGUGAGAAACUAAGAUUGGAUGUGUUGGGACUGCAUGAGUUUGACAGUGUGCAAAAAAGAAUGUCGUUAUCAAAUUACCAAACAAUACUGUAAAGAUAGCUAGUGAAGCAGAGAGAUGUUGAGACCUCGUUCUUUGUUGUCCUAGACAGAUCAAUAUACCAGCUGAUGAUCAACGAUGGAUCACGAUGGAUGGCCAAGGUUUAGAAGAAAACAUUGCUGGAUUCCACAACUGAUACGAGGUGGCGCUGCCCAUUGCCACGCCACCGGGGAGCUGCCCUCGACGACCAAAUGCUAAAACAUGACGGAGGGAGAGUCUCGAUUUGUCGUCGCUUGUUCUACCUUCGCCGAAAACAGAGGGCACUGCUGCUGACCGCCAUCGUCGUCGACCAAGAGAGAGGGGAGGUUGAGGGCUGUUGUUGGAGGUCGCAAAUUGCGUCGCAGAUUUGCUGCUAUUGUUGUUCGCCUAAUGCUGCUCGCUGGAGUCCAUGGAGGUUCGCGGGAGAAUCUGCCUUGUCACCGUUGAUCUCCUGCCGUAAGCCACUGCCGUCAACCACCAGACGGAGGAAGACAUUAGCGAAGAGAGAAAAAGUGAUAAUAAUUGCUCUUUUAUAUAAUAAUAAAAUAUAAAAUAAAAUAUACACAUGCCAUCCCAA